rnacentral:misc_RNA from 1 species
AACUAAUGUAUUUACUAUAAACAUAUUUUGUUGGGGGUCUCUUGGGUGUAAUUGGGUUUAUGGGUAAUAUAGUUUUGACUUGUAACGAUGAUUUAUUUUUGUUGAUAGUGGAAGAUGGCAUCCCUAUGAAUAUAGCUCUAUUUGAAAAGGGUGAACCAAGUAAAUAUUGAUGUUAUGUGUGUUUAUUUUAUUUCUUUACAGUUUAUAUGCUUUGCGAUG